rnacentral:rRNA from 1 species
UACGGGGGGGGGCAAGCGUUGUUCGGAAUUACUGGGCGUAAAGGGCUCGUAGGUGGCCAACUAAGUCAGACGUGAAAUCCCUCGGCUUAACCGGGGAACUGCGUCUGAUACUGGAUGCUGGAGUUUGGGAGAGGGAUGCGGAAUUCCAGGUGUAGCGGUGAAAUGCGUAGAUAUCUGGAGGAACACCGGUGGCGAAGGCGGCAUCCUGGACCACAACUGACGCUGAGGCGCGAAAGCUAGGGGAGCAAACAGG